UAUGCAAAUACAACGAUGCACGAGAUUGAUUUGUUUCGAGAUUCGGCCAUUUGCUUGUAUCCCACCAACUUCGCAAUUCUAGAAAAUGUUGGAUCUCCAUUAAAAGAUGCUUUUACGAAGAUGCAUCAAGCCUUCACUCCAGCAUGUUCUCGAGAAGAUGUUAUCAUUAUGAUCUUUUUCUCAAGAAGAUGUUAUAAUUAUGAUCUUUUUCUCUCUUUUACAGAAUUUAUCUCACUACAAACUUUACACAAGUUAGAGAAAUAUUAGAGAGUUAAGAGCAUAGUUAGUUAAUUUGGAUUCGGCAAAAAUUCGGUACGAGUAUAAUACUCAUAAAAUUCGUUUUCUAAUUUUUAAAUUAGUUGAAAAGUUCGGCUUCAAAAAGGGAUUCAGUAUAAAAUAUAAAAUAUAAGAUAAUAUACAUUUAAAUAUAAAAAUUAUAAGUUUUUUAUUCAGAUUUUUAAUAAUUCGAAAUUAAUUUGUGAAUUAUUCGCGAAUUAUUUGGCUGGCCCAAAAAUUCGCGAAUAAGUCAUUUUCUUAGAAAAAAAUUCGUAGAAGAACCGUUUAAUUCGGUUUUUGAAUAAUUCGCGAAUUAACUAACACAGGUUAAGAGUACAAUAAUAUUACACAAAUUUCAAGCCGCUAUGCAAACACCAUUUGAAACACCAAAUCCCUCUAUUUAUAGCCAAAAUCUAAAAUCUGUCCGUCACUGUGAUUAUGCUAUUUUGGGGGCUCGAAACUACUUUCGGAUGCUGGCUUCUGUAAUUACUUUGCGCUAACAGCUACAUCGACCAUCCAAUGCAGUUUCGGAUGCGCAGAACAACUUUCGAACAUUCGAAUUCACUGAUCAUGAUCGAACAGUUUAGAGUAGAAGACGCAAC
rnacentral:lncRNA from 1 species